rnacentral:tRNA from 1 species
GCCAGCAUGGUGUAGUGGUUUGUGUGGUGUACUAGGACUCUGGAGACCAGGGUUCAAAUCCCUGCUCAGACU